rnacentral:rRNA from 1 species
CCUAUCCGGUCGCGGGACGCAGGAAAUUUGAGAGGAGCUGUCCUUAGUACGAGAGGACCGGGAUGGACGUUCCGCUGGUGUACCAGUUGUGCCGCCAGGCGCAUCGCUGGGUAGCUAUGAACGGCAGGGAUAAACGCUGAAAGCAUCUAAGUGUGAAGCCCCCCUCGAGAUGAGAUUUCCCAUUCCUAUAUGGAAGUAAGACCCCUGAGAGAUGAUCAGGUAGAUAGGCUGGAAGUGGAAGUGCAGCGAUGCAUGGAGCGGACCAGUACUAAUCGGUCGAGGACUUAACCAA